rnacentral:tRNA from 2 species
GUCGGGAUAGCUCAGUCGGUAGAGCAGAGGACUGAA